rnacentral:rRNA from 1 species
AACGAACGCUGGCGGCAGGCCUAACACAUGCAAGUCGAGCGAGCGUCUUCGGGCGCUAGCGGCGGACGGGUGAGUAACGCGUGGGAACGUGCCCUUUGCUACGGAAUAGCCCUGGGAAACUGGGAGUAAUACCGUAUGUGCCCUUUGGGGGAAAGAUUUAUCGGCAAAGGAUCGGCCCGCGUUGGAUUAGGUAGUUGGUGGGGUAAUGGCCUACCAAGCCGACGAUCCAUAGCUGGUUUGAGAGGAUGAUCAGCCACACUGGGACUGAGACACGGCCCAGACUCCUACGGGAGGCAGCAGUGGGGAAUCUUAGACAAUGGGCGCAAGCCUGAUCUAGCCAUGCCGCGUGAGCGAUGAAGGCCCUAGGGUUGUAAAGCUCUUUCGGGGGGAGGAUAAUGANGUGACCCCCAGAAGAAGCCAGGCCGUAACUCCGUGCCAGCAGCCGCGGUAAUACGGAGGGGCUAGCGUUGUUCGGAAUUACUGGGCGUAAAGCGCACGUAGGCGGAUUGGAAGUCAGGGUGAAAUCCGGGCUCAACCCGGACUGCCUUGAAUACUCCCAGUCUUGAGGUCGAGAGAGGUGAGUGGAAUUCCGAGUGUAGAGGUGAAAUUCGUAGAUAUUCGGAGGAACACCAGUGGCGAAGGCGGCUCACUGGCUCGAUACUGACGCUGAGGUGCGAAAGCGUGGGGAGCAAAC